UACGGGGGGGGCAAGCGUUGUUCGGAAUUACUGGGCGUAAAGGGCUCGUAGGCGGCCAACUAAGUCAGACGUGAAAUCCCUCGGCUUAACCGGGGAACUGCGUCUGAUACUGGAUGGCUUGAGAUUGGGAGAGGGAUGCGGAAUUCCAGGUGUAGCGGUGAAAUGCGUAGAUAUCUGGAGGAACACCGGUGGUGAAGGCGGCAUCCUGGACCAACACUGACGCUGAGGAGCGAAAGCCAGGGGAGCAAACGGG
rnacentral:rRNA from 1 species